UACGUAGGGAGCAAGCGUUGUCCGGAUUUAUUGGGCGUAAAGAGCUCGUAGGCGGUUACGUAAGUCAGGUGUGAAACCUCCAGGCUCAACCUGGAGACGCCACUUGAUACUGCGUUGACUUGAGUUCGGUAGGGGUAAGCGGAAUUCCUGGUGUAGCGGUGAAAUGCGUAGAUAUCGGGAGGAACACCUGUGGCGAAGGCGGCCCCCUGGUUGGAUACUGACGCUGAGACGCGAAAGCGUGGGGAGCAAACAGG
rnacentral:rRNA from 1 species